UCCCUGGUGGUCCAGUGGUUGAGAUUUUGCCUUCCCAUGUUGGGGGGUGCAGGUUCAAUCCCUGCUCAGGGAG
rnacentral:tRNA from 1 species